GAUGAACGCUGGCGGCGUGCUUAACACAUGCAAGUCGAACGGUGAAGGCGGAGCUUGCUCUGCUGGAUCAGUGGCGAACGGGUGAGUAACGCGUGAGCAAUCUGCCCCUGACUCUGGGAUAAGCGCUGGAAACGGCGUCUAAUACUGGAUACGAGCUGCGAAGGCAUCUUCAGCAGCUGGAAAGAACUUCGGUCAGGGAUGAGCUCGCGGCCUAUCAGCUUGUUGGUGAGGUAACGGCUCACCAAGGCGUCGACGGGUAGCCGGCCUGAGAGGGUGACCGGCCACACUGGGACUGAGACACGGCCCAGACUCCUACGGGAGGCAGCAGUGGGGAUUAUUGCACAAUGGGCGAAAGCCUGAUGCAGCAACGCCGCGUGAGGGACGACGGCCUUCGGGUUGUAAACCUCUUUUAGCAGGGAAGAAGCGAAAGUGACGGUACCUGCAGAAAAAGCGCCGGCUAACUACGUG
rnacentral:rRNA from 1 species